AGCGAACGCUGGCGGCAGGCUUAACACAUGCAAGUCGAGCGGGCACUUCGGUGUCAGCGGCAGACGGGUGAGUAACACGUGGGAACGUACCCUUUGGUUCGGAAUAACGCUGGGAAACUAGCGCUAAUACCGGAUACGCCUUUUUGGGGAAAGGCUUGCUGCCGAAGGAUCGGCCCGCGUCUGAUUAGCUAGUUGGUGGGGUAAUGGCCUACCAAGGCGACGAUCAGUAGCUGGUCUGAGAGGAUGAUCAGCCACACUGGGACUGAGACACGGCCCAGACUCCUACGGGAGGCAGCAGUGGGGAAUAUUGGACAAUGGGCGCAAGCCUGAUCCAGCCAUGCCGCGUGAGUGAUGAAGGCCUUAGGGUUGUAAAGCUCUUUUGUCCGGGACGAUAAUGACGGUACCGGAAGAAUAAGCCCCGGCUAACUUCGUG
rnacentral:rRNA from 1 species